CUGCUCUCUUCAGCAGCACAAAUACUAAAAUUGAAACAAUAGAGAUUAGUAUUGCCCCUGCUCAAAGAUGACACACAAAUUCGUGAAGCAUUUCAUAUUUUU
ensembl:snRNA U6 U6 spliceosomal RNA